rnacentral:rRNA from 1 species
CCUACGGGUGGCAGCAGUGGGGAAUAUUGCACACUGGGGGAAACCCUGAUGCAGCGACGCCGCGUGAGUGAAGAAGUAUUUCGGUAUGUAAAGCUCUAUCAGCAGGGAAGAAAAAAGACGGUACCUGACUAAGAAGCCCCGGCUAACUACGUGACAGCAGCCGCGGUAAUACGUAGGGGCCAAGCGUUAUCCGAGUUUACUGGGGGUAACGGGAGCGUAGACGGCGCGGCAAGUCUGAAGGGAAAGGCAGGGUCUUAACCCCUGAACUGCUUUGGAAACUGCCAUGCUAGAGUGCUGGAGAGGUAAGUGGAAUUCCUAGUGUAGCGGUGAAAUGCGUAGAUAUUAGGAGGAACACCAGUGGCGAAGGCGGCUUACUGGACAGUAACUGACGUUGAGGCUCGAAAGCGUGGGGAGCAAACAGGAUUAGAUACCCCUGUAGUC